rnacentral:lncRNA from 1 species
CUUUAGUUAUGGCCUUGUAUGUUUGCCAAAUUAAGGGAUGUCCUAAAAUGAAUAAAGUAAAUGAACUACGGUAACCCUAAAAUGGAGACACCUAAGGUAUAAAUAGGUGUACUUUUAAAUGUUAAGACACAGAGGAGAGACUUGGAGACAGACGUUGCUCCAUCUUAAAAUGACAGAGAGGCUGACAUGAUGACAUGUUCAGAAGGGUAUGUUAACCUAUUAAUGAUAUUUGCAAGCAUUUAAUUUAAUCUUAUAAACUCUG